GACGUAGGGUGCAAGCGUUGUCCGGAAUUAUUGGGCGUAAAGAGCUCGUAGGCGGUUUGUCACGUCGGAUGUGAAACCCUGAGGCUCAACCUCAGGCCUGCAUUCGAUACGGGCAGACUAGAAUUCGGCAGGGGAGACUGGAAUUCCUGGUGUAGCGGUGAAAUGCGCAGAUAUCAGGAGGAACACCCGUGGCGAAGGCGGCUCUCUGGGACGGUACUGACGGCUGAGACGCGAAAGCGUGGGGAGCGAACAGG
rnacentral:rRNA from 1 species